UACGUAGGUGGCAAGCGUUGUCCGGAUUUACUGGGCGUAAAGGGCGUGCAGGCGGUCUGUUAAGUUCAGGGUGAAAGCUCCCGGCUCAACUGGGAGAGGUCCUUGGAUACUGGCAGACUUGAGGGAGGUAGAGGAGAGUGGAAUUCCCGGUGUAGUGGUGAUAUGCGUAGAUAUCGGGAGGAACACCAGUGGCGAAGGCGGCUCUCUGGGCCUUUCCUGACGCUGAGACGCGAAAGCGUGGGGAGCAAACGGG
rnacentral:rRNA from 1 species